rnacentral:rRNA from 1 species
AGUGAACGCUGGCGGUAGGCCUAAUACAUGCAAGUCGAACGGCAGCACAGUAAGAGCUUGCUCUAACGGGUGGCGAGUGGCGGACGGGUGAGGAAUACAUCGGAAUCUACCUUUUCGUGGGGGAUAACGUAGGGGAACUUACGCUAAUACCGCAUACGACCUACCGUUUUAAGCAAGUGAUCGUCGGAACUUGCGCUAGGGUAGGAGCCGGUGUCGGUUUAGCUAGUGUGCGGGGUAAAGGCCCACCAAAGCGACGAUACGUAGCUGGUCUGAGAGGAGGAUCAGCCACACUGGACCGGCGACACGGUCCAGGCUCCUACGGGACGCGGCAGUGGGGUAUAUUGGACAGUACGCGCAAUCAUGAUCCAGCCCUGCCGCGUGGGUGACGAAGGCCUUCGGGUUGUAGAGCUAUUCUGUUGUGAAAGAAAAGCAGCAGGUUCAUACCCUGCUGUUAUGACGGUACCCAAAGAAUAAGCACCGGCUAACUUCGUG